rnacentral:lncRNA from 1 species
UAAAUUUUAGAACAACCGACAACAUGAGUGCAAUAUUUAUGCAGCGAAAUAGAAUAUUAAUCCAACUUCAAAAGUGUUUUUAACUUCUGCGUCGUCAACAACCAUCUGCUUGGAUGAUUCCUCUAUCUCUUACCCGAGUUACGCUACGUUGUUAUCAAAUCGUUGUCUCUGUUCGAUCCGCCUUGGGCAAGUUGACCGGGCGUUAACUGAUGCACAAGCGUGUAGGGAAUUGAGACCCAACUGGCAGAAAGCUUGGUAUAGAGAGGGUUCAGCUUUGCGUUUGAUGCAGGCAUGCACUGUUCUUCAUUUAAUCUAAAAUAUUUUUCUUAGUUUUUUUGAGUAAAAUGUCAAUUUCGCCCAAACAAGGCGCAAACAAGCCCACAUUGGGUUGGAUAUACACUCCUGUUAUUAGGCAUUUGUUCCUAAUUAGUUGUCAUAUUUAAGGAAGUUGUUACAUGGAAGAAUCACUUCAAAUGGCCGACAGGACAUUGAGCAAGUUGCUUGGCUAA